rnacentral:ncRNA from 2 species
GUUUAGUAGCCAAGGAUGACUUGCCUUGUUUGAACACAUCAAGUUGCUGGAAAGUAGCACCUUGUUUGGUUCGUUAGGCAGUCACUCCUAGGCUAACUUGAC